rnacentral:rRNA from 1 species
AGUGAACGCUGGCGGUAGGCCUAACACAUGCAAGUCGAACGGCAGCACAAUAAGAGCUUGCUCUUACGGGUGGCGAGUGGCGGACGGGUGAGGAAUACAUCGGAAUCUACUUUUUCGUGGGGGAUAACGUAGGGAAACUUACGCUAAUACCGCAUACGACCUACGGGUGAAAGCAGGGGAUCUUCGGACCUUGCGCGAUUGAAUGAGCCGAUGUCGGAUUAGCUAGUUGGCGGGGUAAGGGCCCACCAAGGCGACGAUCCGUAGCUGGUCUGAGAGGAUGAUCAGCCACACUGGAACUGAGACACGGUCCAGACUCCUACGGGAGGCAGCAGUGGGGAAUAUUGGACAAUGGGCGCAAGCCUGAUCCAGCCAUACCGCGUGGGUGAAGAAGGCCUUCGGGUUGUAAAGCCCUUUUGUUGGGAAAGAAAAGCAGCAGGUUAAUACCCCGCUGUUCUGACGGUACCCAAAGAAUAAGCACCGGCUAACUUCGUG